rnacentral:rRNA from 1 species
UCAAGCGUCUCUAAGGGCAUUUGGUGGAUGCCUUGGCGUUGAGAGGCGAUGAAGGACGUGACACGCUGCGAUAAGCCAUGGGGAGCUGCGAGUAAGCUUUGAUCCGUGGAUUUCCGAAUGGGGAAACCCGGCCAUUUAGGUCAUCCCGCAAGGGAAGCAAACCUGGGGAACUGAAACAUCUAAGUACCCAGAGGAAAGGACAUCAACCGAGACUCCGUUAGUAGUGACGAGCGAACGCGGACCAGGCCAGUGGCUUGAUAGAAGACAACCAGAAGCGUCUGGAAAGGCGCGCCAUAGUGGGUGAUAGCCCCGUAUGGGUAAUGCUUUCUUCAAGUCCUUGAGUAGGGCGGGACACGUGAAAUCCUGUCUGAACAUGGGGGGACCACCCUCCAAGCCUAAGUACUCCUCAACGACCGAUAGUGAACCAGUACCGUGAGGGAAAGGUGAAAAGCACCCCGAUGAGGGGAGUGAAAUAGACCUGAAACCGAAUGCCUACAAUCAGUCGGAGCCACAUUAAGUGGUGACGGCGUACCUUUUGUAUAAUGGGUCAGCGAGUUACUUUGACGAGCAAGCCUAAGCCGUUAGGCGUAAGCGAAGCGAAAGCGAGUCUGAAUAGGGCGUUUAGUUCGUUUGAGUAGACCCGAAACCGGGUGAUCUAGCCAUGGGCAGGUUGAAGGUACGGUAACACGUACUGGAGGACCGAACCCACGCAUGUUGAAAAAUGCGGGGAUGACCUGUGGCUAGGGGUGAAAGGCCAAUCAAACCCGGAGAUAGCUGGUUCUCUGCGAAAACUAUUUAGGUAGUGCGUUAUGUGAUUACUGCCGGGGGUAGAGCACUGGAUGGGCUAGGGGGGCGCGAGCCUUACCAAACCUAACCAAACUCCGAAUACCGGUAAGUACAGCAUGGCAGACAGACUAUGGGUGCUAAGGUCCAUAGUCGAGAGGGAAACAGCCCAGACCACCAGCUAAGGUCCCCAAGUUAUGGCUAAGUGGGAAAGGAUGUGGGAAGGCCAAGACAGCCAGGAGGUUGGCUUAGAAGCAGCCAUCCUUUAAAGAAAGCGUAACAGCUCACUGGUCUAGACAAGCCGGCCUGCGCCGAAGAUGUAACGGGGCUAAAGCCACAUACCGAAGCUGAGGACGUGAUUUAUCACGUGGUAGCAGAGCGUUCUGUAGGCCUGCGAAGCGUAAUCGUGAGAUUGCGUGGAGGUAUCAGAAGUGAGAAUGCUGACAUGAGUAGCGAUAAAGAGUGUGAGAAACACUCUCGCCGUAAGCCCAAGGGUUCCUGCGCAAGGCUAAUCCGCGCAGGGUGAGUCGGCCCCUAAGACGAGGGCGAAAGCCGUAGUCGAUGGGAAUCAGGUUAAUAUUCCUGAACCUGUUGGUAGUGACGGAUGACGUAAGUUGUACAUGCUUAACGGAUUGUGUGUGCAGUGAAGUUGUCCCAGGAAAUAGCUCCAACAUUAAGACCGUACCCCAAACCGACACAGGUGGGCAGGUAGAGCAUACCGAGGCGCUUGAGAGAACGAUGUUGAAGGAACUCGGCAAAUUGCCCCCGUAACUUCGGGAGAAGGGGGACCUCCAUUUAGGCAACUAGAUGGAGGUGGCACAGACCAGGGGGUGGCGACUGUUUAUUAAAAACACAGGGCUCUGCGAAGUAGAUAAUACGACGUAUAGGGUCUGACGCCUGCCCGGUGCCGGAAGGUUAAGAGGAGGUGUGAGAGCUCCGAAUUGAAGCCCCGGUAAACGGCGGCCGUAACUAUAACGGUCCUAAGGUAGCGAAAUUCCUUGUCGGGU